rnacentral:rRNA from 1 species
UAAGCAUAUCACUAAKCGGAGGAGAAGAAACUAACCAGGAUUUCCCUAGUANCGGCGAGCGARCCGGAAAGAGCCCAGGCUUGAGAAUCGUGGUGCCUCGCACCUCGAGUUGUAGUCUGRAGAAGGYYCCUCUGCGACGCGCCGGACCCAAGUUCCCUGGAAAGGGACGUCAGAGAGGGUGAGAACCCCGUCGAGUCCGACGCGCGUCGCUCCACGAGAACCUGUCUGCGAGUCGGGCUGUUUGGGAAUGCAGCCCUAAGUGGGUGGUAAAUUCCAUCCAAGGCUAAAUAUUGGCAAGAGACCGAUAGCGAACAAGURCCGCGAGGGAAAGAUGAAAAGGACUUUGAAAAGAGAGUUAAAAAGUGCUUGAAAUUGCUGGGAGGGAAGCGAAUGGAAGCUGCGGGCGCGCCCCGGUUGGAUGUGGAACGGCUGCGGCUGGUCCGCCGCUCAACGCGGGGCGCUGGUCAGCGUGGGCCGUCGCGCCGGGACAAGAGCAGGGAUUCGCUUCCUGCCUAUGCCGGUGCGGUGGCCGAGGAACGAAGCGCGCGCCUUCGCGGCGUGGGGUGCGCCCCAACUGCGCGCUCGGGACGCUGGCGUAUUGAGCUCUUCAUCCGACCCGUCUUGAAACACGGACCAAGGAGUCUAACAUGUAUGCGAGCCGGUGGGCGGCAAACCCAUUGAGGCGCAAGGAACCUGACAGGUGGGACCCCGACCGCGAGGGAGGGAGCACCAUCGACCGACCGUGAUCUUCUGUGAAAGGUUUGAGUGUGAGCAUACCUGUUGGGACCCGAAAGAUGGUGAACUAUGCCUGAGCAGGGCGAAGCCAGAGGAAACUCUGGUGGAGGCUCGUAGCGAUACUGACGUGCAAAUCGUUCGUCAGACUUGGGUAUAGGGGCGAAAGACUAAUCGAACCAUCUAGUAGCUGGUUCCCUCCGAAGUUUCCCUCAGGAUAGCUGGAGCUCGUGUAAAAGUUUUAUCAGGUAAAGCGAAUGAUUAGAGGCAUCGGGGGUGUAACACCCUCGACCUAUUCUCAAACUUUAAAUAGGUAAGCCGCCGGGGUUGCUUGGUUGAACCCCGGCACAGAAUGAGAGCUCCAAGUGGGCCAUUUUUGGUAAGCAGAACUG